rnacentral:rRNA from 1 species
GUGCAUAGCCAUACCACCCUGAACACGCCCGAUCUCAUCUGAUCUCGGAAGCUAAGCAGGGUCGGGCCUGCUUAGUACCUGGAUGGGAGAAGUAAGUGAAUAACAUCUCUUUGGUAGUGCUGCUGGUAUACUGA